rnacentral:rRNA from 1 species
CAGCCGCCGCGGGAAUACGUAGGGUGCGAGCGUUAAUCGGAAUUACUGGGCGUAAAGCGUGCGUAGGCGGUUUGUUAAGUCUGUUGUGAAAUCCCCGGGCUCAACCUGGGAAUGGCAAUGGAUACUGGCAAGCUAGAGUGUGUCAGAGGAUGGUGGAAUUCCCGGUGUAGUGGUGAAAUGCGUAGAGAUCGGGAGGAACAUCAGUGGCGAAGGCGGCCAUCUGGGACAACACUGACGCUGAGGCGCGAAAGCGUGGGGAGCAAACAGGAUUAGAGACCCCCGUAGUCCCUGUCUCUUAUAA